GGCCUUAGGGUCGUAAAGCUCUUUCGCCAGGGAUGAUAAUGACAGUACCUGGUAAAGAAACCCCGGCUAACUCCGUGCCAGCAGCCGCGGUAAUACGGAGGGGGUUAGCGUUGUUCGGAAUUACUGGGCGUAAAGCGCACGUAGGCGGAUCAGAAAGUAAGGGGUGAAAUCCCAGGGCUCAACCCUGGAACUGCCUCUUAAACUCCUGGUCUUGAGUUCGAGAGAGGUGAGUGGAAUUCCAAGUGUAGAGGUGAAAUUCGUAGAUAUUUGGAGGAACACCAGUGGCGAAGGCGGCUCACUGGCUCGAUACUGACGCUGAGGUGCG
rnacentral:rRNA from 1 species